CCUACGGGUGGCAGCAGUGGGGAAUAUUGCACAAUGGGCGCAAGCCUGAUGCAGCCAUGCCGCGUGUGUGAAGAAGGCCUUCGGGUUGUAAAGCACUUUCAGCGGGGAGGAAGGCGGUGAGGUUAAUAACCUCAUCGAUUGACGUUACCCGCAGAAGAAGCACCGGCUAACUCCGUGCCAGCAGCCGCGGUAAUACGGAGGGUGCAAGCGUUAAUCGGAAUUACUGGGCGUAAAGCGCACGCAGGCGGUCUGUCAAGUCGGAUGUGAAAUCCCCGGGCUCAACCUGGGAACUGCAUUCGAAACUGGCAGGCUAGAGUCUUGUAGAGGGGGGUAGAAUUCCAGGUGUAGCGGUGAAAUGCGUAGAGAUCUGGAGGAAUACCGGUGGCGGAGGCGGCCCUCUGGACAAAGACUGACGCUCAGGUGCGAAAGCGUGGGGAGCAAACAGGAUUAAUACCCCAGUAGUC
rnacentral:rRNA from 1 species